rnacentral:lncRNA from 1 species
UCAACCUCCGAUGCCUCCUCCUUCUGGGGCUCCGCCGACUACUGAGACUUCUCCUAAGCAGCCUUUGUGAAGGCUCCCUCUUGUAUUUUUUUUUGCUUAAUGUUCCUUUUUUUUUUCAUGAAAAUGAAUGUAAAAAUACCUUGCAUAUCUGUCAGUGUUUCAAAAAUAAACCCACACCAAAAACAAUUAAACAAGCAACAAAUAAAAAUGAUAAUCAUGGAAAAAUAAAACUGCAGAAAAGGGAAGGUUUUUAGAAACGCAAAACUGCUUGUGGAGCAAUUCAAAAAUCUUCCUUAUUUGAAUACAUGGGUUGCCUCCCAAGAAGCGCUUGCUUUAACGUCUUCCAGCCGGACGAAACUUCCUUCUAAACUUGGAUAGGGCCCAUAGCAUGGAAUUGAUCCUUGAAUGGACGG